UACGUAGGGGGCAAGCGUUGUCCGGAAUCAUUGGGCGUAAAGAGCGUGUAGGCGGCUUGGCAAGUCUCGCGUGAAAUCCUGCGGCUCAACCGCAGGCGGUCGCGGGAAACUGCCUCGCUAGAGUCCGGAAGAGGAGAGUGGAAUUCCUGGUGUAGCGGUGGAAUGCGCAGAUAUCAGGAGGAACACCAAUGGCGAAGGCAGCUCGCUGGGACGGUACUGACACUGGAGACGCGAAAGCGUGGGGAGCAAACAGG
rnacentral:rRNA from 1 species